CAUAUCAAUAAGCGGAGGAAAAGAAACUAACAAGGAUUCCCCUAGUAACUGCGAGUGAAGCGGGAAGAGCUCAAAUUUAAAAUCUGGCGUGCCUCCGGUCGUCCGAGUUGUAGUCUGGAGAAGCGUUUUCCGUGUUGGACCGUGUAUAAGUCUCUUGGAACAGGGCGUCAUAGAGGGUGAGAAUCCCGUCUUUGACACGGACUACCAAUGCUUUGCGAUGCGCUCUCAAAGAGUCGAGUUGUUUGGGAAUGCAGCUCAAAAUGGGUGGUAAAUUCCAUCUAAAGCUAAAUAUAGGCGAGAGACCGAUAGCGAACAAGUACCGUGAGGGAAAGAUGAAAAGCACUUUGGAAAGAGAGUUAAACAGUACGUGAAAUUGCUGAAAGGGAAACGCUUGAAGUCAGUCAUGUCUGCCAGGACUCAGCCUUGCUUCUGCUUGGUGCACUUUCUGGUUUGACGGGCCAACAUCAAUUUUGACCGUUGGAGAAAGGCUUUGGGAAUGUGGCACCUUUGGGUGUGUUAUAGCCCUUUGUCGUAUACAACGGUUGGGAUUGAGGACUGCAGCACGCCUUCAUGGCCGGGGUUCGCCCACGUACGUGCUUAGGAUGUUGGCAUAAUGGCUUUAAGCGACCCGUCA
rnacentral:rRNA from 1 species